GAUGAACGCUGGCGGCGUGCCUAAUACAUGCAAGUCGAGCGAACAGACGAGGAGCUUGCUCCUCUGACGUUAGCGGCGGACGGGUGAGUAACACGUGGAUAACCUACCUAUAAGGCUGGGAUAACUUAGGGAAACCGGAGCUAAUACCGGAUAAUAUAUUGAACCGCAUGGUUCAAUAGUGAAAGACGGUUUUGCUGUCACUUAUAGAUGGAUCCGCGCCGCAUUAGCUAGUUGGUAAGGUAACGGCUUACCAAGGCAACGAUGCGUAGCCGACCUGAGAGGGUGAUCGGCCACACUGGAACUGAGACACGGUCCAGACUCCUACGGGAGGCAGCAGUAGGGAAUCUUGCGCAAUGGGCGAAAGCCUGACGCAGCAACGCCGCGUGAGUGAUGAAGGUCUUCGGAUCGUAAAACUCUGUUAGUAGGGAAGAACAAAUGUGUAAGUAACUAUGCCCGUCUUGACGGUACCUAAAGAGAAAGCCACGGCUAACUACGUG
rnacentral:rRNA from 1 species